AAUAGAAUCAUAGCAGAAAAGGAAAUUUAACUCAUGACUUGAAGCAGCCAAUCAGAUAAAAGCUUCUGGAACAGAAAACUCAGUGCUUUCAUCAUCUGGUUACUUUUCAGCAGCUCCACCUUGAGGGUGCUUCCCUGUCUAAAGAUGAUGCCUCUGUGGAUUCUUGUCUUAUCUCUUAACAUAAGAACCCAAGCUGUGGAUUUUUCCAGACCAUCGUUUCUCUCGGUCAAACCUGGAGAACGUGUUACUCUUAACUGCUCAUUUGGACAUUUUAAAUCUUCUGAAAGUGUUUUCUGGUACAAACAAAUAUUUGGAGAAAUGCCUCAAAAAAUAGUGAAAAGAGUAGCGUAUAAGGACGUCGACAUUUCACCCGAGUUUAAGACGUCAGGAUUUGUAUUGGAGGUAAAAGAUAAGGAGGUUUCUCUGAUAAUUCCACAUAUAAAAGACAAAGACGAAGGACUUUACUACUGUGCAAAAGGUUUCAUGGACGAUAUUUUUUUAUCCAGCGGAACGUUCUUGGCUGUAACAGAUAACGGAGAUGCAAAAGUCUCAGUGUUUCAGCACGGCCUGUGGGACUCGGUCCGGUGUGAGAGCGCCUCUUCUACACACACCUGUGUGUACAACUUCUCCAAGAACAUCCUCAGCCUCAAUGAUACUGGAACUUACUACUGCGCUGUGGCCCUGUGUGGGAAGAUCAUCUUUGGGAACCGGACACAAAUACAGAUGGAGAAUGUUCCAGAAAUGGGUGGGUAA